AGUGAACGCUAGCGGCAGGCUUAACACAUGCAAGUCGAGGGGUAUAGGUUUUCGGACCUAGAGACCGGCGCACGGGUGCGUAACGCGUAUGCAAUCUACCCUUCACAGAGGGAUAGCCCAGAGAAAUUUGGAUUAAUACCUCAUAGUAUAGCAGUUUCGCAUGAAACCACUACUAAAGUUCCAACGGUGAAAGAUGAGCAUGCGUCCCAUUAGCUAGAUGGUAAGGUAACGGCUUACCAUGGCUACGAUGGGUAGGGGUCCUGAGAGGGAGAUCCCCCACACUGGUACUGAGACACGGACCAGACUCCUACGGGAGGCAGCAGUGAGGAAUAUUGGUCAAUGGACGCAAGUCUGAACCAGCCAUGCCGCGUGCAGGAUGACGGUCCUAUGGAUUGUAAACUGCUUUUGUACGAGAAGAAACAACAUUACGUGUAAUGUCUUGACGGUAUCGUAAGAAUAAGGAUCGGCUAACUCCGUGCCAGCCGCCGCUGUAACAC
rnacentral:rRNA from 1 species